rnacentral:rRNA from 1 species
CCUACGGGUGGCUGCCGUGAGGAAUAUUGGUCAAUGGGCGCGAGCCUGAACCAGCCAAGUCGCGUGAAGGAUGAAGGAUCUAUGGUUUGUAAACUUCUUUUAUAUGGGAAUAAAGUGUGGAACGUGUUCCUUUUUGUAUGUACCAUAUGAAUAAGCAUCGGCUAACUCCGUGCCAGCAGCGGCUGUAAUACGGAGGAUGCGAGCGUUAUCCGGAUUUAUUGGGUUUAAAGGGUGCGUAGGUGGUUAAUUACGUCAGCGGUGAAAGUUUGUGGCUCAACGAGAAUAUUGCCGUUGAAACUGGUUGACUUGAGUAUAUUUGAGGUAGGCGGAAUGCGUGGGGUAGAGGUGAAAUGCAUAGAUAUCACGCAGAACUCCGAUUGCGAAGGCAGCUUACUAAACUAUAACUGACACUGAAGCACGAAAGCGUGGGGAUCAAACAGGAUUAGAUACCCCUGUAGUC